CCUCAAGUCCUUUAUCAUGUGACCCUCCUCCCCCAAGCCCUUCUCUCUCUCUCUCUCUGUGGAACGGCUGAGUUCUUUAAUCCAAAAGGGUUCCUAUCUACAUAACACCACCUAUCUCUCCUACCGUUGCCCGUUAGUGACAUGGUGGGGCUUAUCUGUUCGUGAGUUGUGACCGUUCGAUCAUUUUGACAAGUAAACCAUUGAUGGAAUGGAUAAAGAUAACAGAAAGUGAUGAAGUUUGUAAUGUGGACCGUUCCAAUCCAAUGAAGAUCAGGAGAUUGCAGGCAGCAGUAAAGUUCAGGGGAGAUUGGGGGAUUACGAAUACGAAGGACAAGCUUUUGUUUGAAAGCUCCUGAGUGCUACUACCCUGUGCAAAAGCCGCACUUUUCCACAAGAAUCACUUCUCUCUACUAUGGGAGUGUGUUUCUUGUUCAAUUGUAGAGGCUAGGCAAGCAGGAAAGAAACAACCAAUUAGAAUCUCUCUAUUGGUUCAAUUAAAAGAGGGCAAGCAUGUGGCGCAACAAUUAAGUUGCACUAUUGUAACAUGUUGGUCAUAGGUUUGAAACUUGUGAAGCAGGGGAAUAAGACUGUGUACAUUUGCCCCUCCCAAAUUCUAUAGUGGCUAGAGCCUCAUUGUAUCAUUACAAGGGAGUUGGCUUAGGCAUAUUGGUGAUGGCGGAAACGGCUUGGAUUCUUUUGAUCACAUUGUACGUAUGAUAGCGUUGAAUGGAAUAAUUUUUUCCAAUAG